UCUACGGGUGGCAGCAGUGGGGAAUAUUGCACAAUGGGGGAAACCCUGAUGCAGCGACGCCGCGUGAGUGAAGAAGUAUCUCGGUACGUAAAGCUCUAUCAGCAGGAAAGAAAAUGACGGUACCUGACUAAGAAGCCCCGGCUAACUACGUGCCAGCCGCCGCGGUAAUACGUAGGGGGCAAGCGUUAUCCGGAUUGACUGGGUGUAAAGGGAGCGUAGACGGGGCUGGAAGUCCGGGGUGAAAGCCCAUGGCUUAACCAAGUGACUGCUCUGGAAACUGUAGAGCUGGAGUGCGGGAGGGGCAGGCGGAAGUCCUAGUGUAGCGGUGAAAUGCGUAGAUAUUAGGAGGAACACCGGCGGCGAAGGCGGCCUGCUGGACCGUAACUGACGUUGAGGCUCGAAAGCGUGGGGAGCAAACAGGAUUAGAUACCCUAGUAGUC
rnacentral:rRNA from 1 species